AAAACUAACUUGUUUUCUUCUCAUUACAUACAAUCAAAUGUAAGAAUAACCCGAAACACUCAAAAUUGUUAAAAGGCCAAAAAGCAUUAGUCCUGGCCAAUGCAAUGAACAUCUCAGCUAUUAUAAAAACCUCCAUAGAUUUGUUCCCAGCUUAUUGGUAAUGAAAAACAAAACAGUGAACCAUAGUACAAGAUCACAUGCAAAAGACCGAAAAUUCAGAGCUGCUUAUGGAAAAAGCACACUCCCUAAGAAAAACACAGAGGAAUUAGCCAUUGCCAGCCACACCCAAUCCUUUCUCACAGUCAGCAACCAGAGUCCCACCGUACAGAUACAGAUACGCUACUUAUCCAAAUAUCUAAGGAACUCAUUUUAUAAUCAAAUAUUUUAAAAUCUGCCCAUCACUUUUACAGUGAAGAAAAUAGCAAUAUCUUUUCGCUAUUAUUGCCUUAAAAGCUUUCCAUUUAAAAAUGGAUCUGUUGGGCCAAGUAAGACACUAAGAAAAUACACAAGAAAUGAGAGGGAUAAUGUGGCCGUCAUCAAUAUUUAACACAGAUAAACAAUACAUUUUUAAGAAAAUUCCAAAUCAUUAAAUAGGCAAUAUUAAACCCUAAUUUCUUAGGUACGUUGGACUCACAUGACACCUUUCAGGUGCUAUUAGUGGCAUUUAACACCCUCUCAAACAUACCAAUGAGCUGUUAACUCAGUGAUAUUGGAAUUCAACGAUCAAAAUUAAACUACUGCUUAAAAUAUCAGGAUCAAAUAAGCAGCUUUUAAUUAACAGAACAAGCAUUCAAACUUUGGCAAUAGCUAUCCUAUAACUAAAGUAUAU
rnacentral:misc_RNA from 1 species